rnacentral:rRNA from 1 species
AUGCGCGCAAACACCUGCGAGGACUCGUCGGACGGGUUCGACACGGGUGGCGGCGAGAAGAAACGCGGCAGCGGUUCCGGGGGCGGAGGCGGCGGCGAGGACGGGGAGCUGGUGGCGAUCGACAAGGGGUUCCGGAUGGAGCUGGACGAGCUGCUGCGGUCGUCGGCGUACGUGCUGGGGAAGGGCGGGAAGGGGAUCGUGUAUAAGGUGGUGGUAGGCAACGGGACGACGCCGGUGGCCGUGCGGCGGCUGGGCGGCGGCACCGCGGCCCCGGAGCGGUACAAGGAGUUCGCGGCGGAGGCCGGCGCCGUCGGGCGCGUGCGGCACGCCAACGUGGUACGGCUGCGCGCGUACUACUGGUCGCCCGAUGAGAAGCUCGUCGUCACCGACUUCAUCAACAACGGCAACCUCGCCUCCGCGCUGCGCGGGGGGUUUCUGCAAAACUGCGUACGCUGA